rnacentral:tRNA from 1 species
GGGGAGGUCGCAUAGUUGGCCUAGUGCGGUUGUUUGCUAAACAACUGAGGGAGCAAUCCCUCCGAGGGUUCGAAUCCCUCCCUUCCCGCCA